rnacentral:lncRNA from 10 species
CCGGGCUUCGGCGGUGCCCGCGAUGGGCGCUAGGGGGCCCCCGCGGAGCUUGGAAGGCGGCUUUGCUGUAAAUCCCAGCCCUCUGCGCUUUCUUCCGGGUAAUAAAUUCACAAGGCUUGUUUUUUAACCCCCACCAGAGGUUAAAAUAGUUUCAUAAAAAGUUUUGGUAAAUUCAUGGGUAACUUUUGAGGUUAUGUGAGGUUGUUGUCACACAAAAAAAAAAAAAGAGAGAGAGAAAAACAGAGCCUUUCUUCUCUGCUCCUGCAAGAUUGAGGCUUGGCGCCGGCGGGGGCGGAGGGGGCCCGGGCUUUGUGUUCUUCCAGAAGCAUCCACGUGGCUAGGCGGCUCUCCAGGCCCCCGGGCGCCCACCCACCAGGGUAGGGGGGUCUCGGGAGCGCCCAGCCAGGGGUCCGCACCCACCCCGCCGCCCGCCCGGGCACCCUGCAGCCUUCCCGAGGCUUCGCUGAGCUCGACCCCCAGCCCAGCUCAGCCCAGCCCGUGGGGCGAGUGGGGUUCGGGGCUCUGCGUUGAUCGCUUCCUGCCAUGCCCGUGGGAAUAAAGCAAAAGUUACAGCCCCUGAGUAGGGGUUAAAAAGAACUUUAUCAGAUUGAUAAGCUGGGAGACAGGAGGAGGCAGAAAGAAAACAGCGCAGUUAAGGGAGGGGGCGUCGCACAUUAACUAUGAUUCAGACUCCAAUGCACUGAGUUCAUUUUUCAAUCUGCCUUUAGGUAGGGGAAAAAAAAUAAGGAAAUUAUGGAAAAUUGAGAAAUAAACAUCUCUGAGAGUGCUUUGCACCCGGGGGUGCUUAACGAACACUUAAUAAUUUCAAACGCUAGUACUUAGAAAAAUGGCUUUUGUCCGUUCCCGGCACGCCAGGUGCCUCCUAGCAAAACCGGAAAGCUGAAAAUGACUGAAAAUGAUCGCUAAUGUCUAUGUGGAGGGUGGUACAAAAAUCACUUGUUCAUGUCCUUUGGAAGUUAAGGAAAUAAGCAAGCCAAAAUUUUAAGAGUUUUAGCAAGGGAAAAACCUUGGAACUGAGCUUGCAUUUCUUUUCCUCAACGUAUGAACUUGGGCAAGACUCCUAAUUAGGACAGGGCUGGCCACACAUCACCUCCUGACCCCACGGGGCCAUACUGAAAAUUAGAUGAGGAAAAACAUUUGGAGGAAACUCUCAAAAUGCUACUGCAGGAAGCAAUGGUUGUUUUUGGAGCAGAUUCCCCAUGCUCCCUGCCAGCAGCCAGCAGUGGGGUGAGGGCCAGUGUGAACUAUUUACCUAGAGGACGAUGGGGUCCCUACAAGAGCACAGUAUUGCCAGGGAGGCCUCUGGGACGAGUUGGAGCUUGGAGGAUUAUUCCAGUUUCGUCAUUUUCUCAACCUGGAGGGCAAGUCUCACCCCGGCAGGAAGAGCACCAUAGGCAUGCAUGUAGCACAAACUCAAGGGCCCAGAAUGUACUCCCGAAUCCCUACGAGCUCCCUGCUGGGGAAAGUAUGGACCUGCACCAUUCACUGCCUCCCUCCUUUGGCUUGAAGACGUCUUGUCCAGACCUGGGGGGAAAAUUCAGUGUAUGCUCACCCCUGCCACCUCCCAGCCAUGAUAACCACACACUGUAAAGUCCUUUGUAGUUCACACAGCACUUUCACAGUCACUGUCUCAUGUAACUUGAGCCUCUCCUCAAUCUCAAGGGCAAAUGAGUCAGGUAUUCCUGGACAGGCUUCAUGGGGUUCUUGGGCACCAGAUUAAAUGAAUUAUGGACUCAGAAACUCCAGCCCCAUUCUACAGAUGAGGACCUGAGACAAUGAGAAGGAACAAAUUUUGCCCAAAGAACUAGUAAAAGUCAAGACUCAAACCAAUUCCUCUAAAUCCAGAAAGCAAAAUUAUUUAUCCUGUACCAGCCUUGGCCUCAAAGGAGGCUGAGAGAGAAAGGGAAACGUUAGGCUUUCCAAGGUUAAUGGAGUAAGGUGGUUGAGGAGACUUUGGAGUGUCUGGCAUCAGAAGGAGCAGAUUCUUCUUUAAAAAAAACAAUAAAAACAGAAUUGUGUUCUCAAAUUCUAGCUAGAUGUUGAGACCUAACCUCUUUCUCUCUGAUUAAAAGGGAGGUUAGGAAGGGGUUUAGGCAAGUGUUAAAGAUGGAAUCAAAACAAGACUUUCUCCAUGGCAUGAUCAAGAGGCUGGAGAGGGAGUUGAGAGGAGAAUCACCUUCCCAUUAUGAGUCAGUGUCACUGAAGGUUUCUCUCUGUAGCCCCUAAAGUUACUUCUCCCCUAGGUUCCACUCACACCUUAGUUAGAAUUAAUCCUACAGGCUCAUCUGCCUCCAAACCAAAAGGGCCUGGCCCCUUGUGAAGACCAGGCAGCAGGUGGGUGUCGGGGAAACAGACCCCGCAAGGCGCACCUGGUGCCUCCGUGAUUUUGUUGAGAGUGAGUCUUGCCUUUUGUGUCCCAUUUGUAGCCUGUUGAGUUCCAUCCCUGAGAUCCUCAUUUUUCUUCCUGCCUCAUCCACUGAUUCUAUUUGGCUACUGGUUCCAGCACGUUGCAUAGGAAAAUUCCAGAACAAAACUCAGGAUUCAUUUGUGGCCCUCUGCUGAGAAGGGGGUCUUCCAACUCAAAUAUGAGAACGGUUUUCAGAAAGUCUUUCAAAAGCAGAACCGUCCCCAUUUCAGGUGUGGGAUUGAAGAGAAUGCCAGCCUUCCACGGACAGAAUGGAUAACAGACCCCUAGUGAGAAUCAAGGAGGGCUGGAAAGGCCCUCCCAUCCACAGGCAUAGAAGGUAGCAUCUUUUACUCAUCCAAGGGGAAAAGAAGAAAAAGUUUUAUAAACUGGAGGAAAAGAGAGGUAUUUAAUAUGCUACUGGUAGGGGUAUAAACUGGGAAGCAAUUUGAAAAUGGCUAUUAAAAAUGUGCAACACAACACUCAAAGACCCAGCAAUUUCUCUUCUUGGUUAUUCCCUAGAGCAAACCCUGCCUGGGCUAAGGAGAUAUAAACAGUGUGUCCAAGGAGCAUGAUGCAAGUGUGAAACACUGGUGAUGACCAAACUCUUCGUUAAUAGGAGAAUGGCUUCAUAAAUAAGAGUAUUCCCACCCAGAGGGACUCUGUCCCUGCUCAGGAAGUUGAGACAGAGCUACAUGUUUUCACAGUGUGGAACCACAAAACAUUUUUGAGUAAAAAGAGCAAGUUGUGCAAUGAGAUGUGCAGUGUGCUGCUGCUGUGUUACACACACACACACACACACACACACACACACAGAGAUGAAGAUCUGUCAGAUGUACUCCAGACUCCAAACUGUCAUUUUACCUGAGGAUGGUAUUGGGAUGGGGUAGUGGUGAAACUGAACAUCAGCCUUAUCUAUUGCAUUUUUAUGUGUUAAGUAUUAUUCAUGAUUACACGUGUAAUUAAAAACUAAUAAUUAACUUUUUUGCCCCUCUAGGUGGAGCAUCACUUUUGCCAAGUUUUUUUUUUUUAAGAACAAAAGUGCCCCACCUGUCAGUGGUCUUCUAAUCAGUCACCUCAUACCCACUCUAUUUACCCCAAUUCUUGCUCCACUCUGUGUCUAGAGUGAUCUUUAGAAAACCUAAAUGGGAUUAUCUGCAUAAUCCUGUUGUUCUCAGGAAAAAAAUUUCAGGCCCCGACUGAGGCCUGAGAAGUCCUGCAGGUGAUGCCCUGUCCUGUGAGCCUCCACUGUACCUGCGCCCGUCCCCCAUGCACCUGGCACACUAGCCAUCUGUCUAUCACGCAUUCCAUCCUGUGAGCCCCCACUGCACAUGUGCCUGUCCCCCACUCACCCUGGCACACUGGCCAUCUCUCUAUCAUGUGUGUACCACUUCCUCCUGGCACAGGCAGCAUGCCCACCAUGGGCUCCCAAUCAGUGUCCCAGAAUCUUAGAAAUGCAGGGUUUCCGGGAGCCAGAGGUUGCAGUGAGCCGAGAUCACGCCACUGCACUCCAGCCUGGGCGACAGAGUGAAACUCCAUCUCAGUCAAUCAAUCAAUAAGAAAUGCAGGGAUUCAGGCUGCCUCCGAAACUCUUGGCAAGUGCCUCUCACCCUAGCCCAGUGAAGCAGAGAAGGGAAGGCUCUUCCAGGAGGGUCUUUGCAGAAUGUUGCCCAUGGCCUCUGCAGUCAAUUCUGCUGAAUUGGUUCAGUGGUUUAAAUCCAUACAGGUCAAAGCCUUACAAAAAUUGAGAAAAUUCUAGAUGAGACAAUGCAAGCCAAUGAGGAUCCUACUGACAGAAAAAAAGGGGGUAUGGCUCUCCAAGAGAGGGGCCCAGGGAAGGGUGUGGGGGUUGGUGGUUAUUUU